rnacentral:rRNA from 1 species
UGGGUUUGACAUCCUGUGAACGUCUAAGAGAUUAGACAGUGCCUUCGGGAGCACAGAGAC